GACAGAGGGUGCAAACGUUGUUCGGAAUUACUGGGCGUAAAGCGCGUGUAGGCGGCUAUGUAAGUCGGGCGUGAAAUCCCACGGCUCAACCGUGGAAGUGCACCCGAAACUGCGUAGCUAGAGUCCUGGAGAGGAAGGUGGAAUGCUUGGUGUAGAGGUGAAAUUCGUAGAUAUCAAGCGGAACACCGGUGGCGAAGGCGGCCUUCUGGGACAGUGACUGACGCUGAGACGCGAAAGCGUGGGGAGCAACAGGG
rnacentral:rRNA from 1 species